UACAGAGGUCUCAAGCGUUGUUCGGAUUCAUUGGGCGUAAAGGGUGCGUAGGCGGCGCGGUAAGUCAGGUGUGAAAUUUCGGAGCUUAACUCCGGAACUGCAUUUGAUACUGCCUUGCUUGAGGACUGGAGAGGAGACUGGAAUUCACGGUGUAGCAGUGAAAUGCGUAGAGAUCGUGAGGAAGACCAGUGGCGAAGGCGGGUCUCUGGACAGUUCCUGACACUGAGGCACGAAGGCCAGGGGAGCAAACGGG
rnacentral:rRNA from 1 species